rnacentral:lncRNA from 1 species
CGAAAAGUGAAAAAAUACUAUUUAUUGGUCCGUAAAUUAUCCACUUAGGUUAAUAUAUAUUGGUUUAUUUUUGGUUAUAUUAAAAUUGAAGUUAAAAUUAAGGUUUGGUUCGGUUUGGAAGACUUCACAAGAAGUCUUCUAACAUAAAUUACACUGGAAGACUUCUCAAGAAGUCUUCUAAACCAUUCGGCCAAGAAGUCUUCUUAAGUUUAAGAAGUCUUCCGGGAGUAUUCCAGACCCUAUAAUCAAAUAAGUAAUCAAAUUUACUUUUUUAAACUUAAAAGAAACUUAGAAAGUGUUUAAAUCAAGUUAUUAGAUAGUCACUACACACAUAUAGGUCAAAUUAAAAAAAAAAAAAGAUAAAAUUUCAAAAUCUUACCCUACAAAUACGAACAAUACUACAACAUAUGUUACCAA